CCCGGCUAUUAGAGCCGCGAGAUGCAACCCUCUGGUGGGCGGCCGGGGCGAGGGGCCCGCAGCCCAGCCGUAGGGGGCCUCGCGGUCGUCCUGGGCUCCCUUCCUAGCUGCUGGCCGCGUCGUCGGGCGGGCGCCAGGUCUCGGCCUGGGGACACACGGUAGAGGCGUGUUCCGGGAAACUUCUAAUCUGCGCUCCGGCGGGGCGAGCCCUGGAGAGCCCAGCACAGGCGAGAUCCCAAGUCUUAGUCCUGACCGUGGAGUGACCCGCCAGUUCUGCCUUGGUGCGCGGAGUGUCGCCCCGAGACCCGGAACGCCUCAGUCGGGUCUAGAGAUGAGACUGGGGCAACAGAGGUUAAGGGACUUCCCCAGGUCACACAACAGUGGAGCUGGCCUGGAGCAGGUGGGCACCUGCAGGUAAACAUCCAUACUGCUGCUAAACCUGGACAAGAAUGCUACAGAUUAGCCACUGAAAGUGCCCAGGGCAAGACCAGAGCCUGGAUGCAGAGGGGACUAUAGAUUGGAGGGAGGUAGACUGGGGUCAGGGCCCACAGCUGGAGACAGGUACAGUAAUGGGAAGCGUCAGGGGACGAUGACAAUGAACCUCUAAUGGAGAUGUGGUGGAGGGCAGAGAAAGCUGUUAGGAGGCUGAAUCCACAGGGCUUGGUGACUGCAUGAAAAGGCAGGGGGCAGAGUCAAUGGGGUGUCCCUUGUCAGGCUUGUUCAGGGUCUCUGAAUCUCCUGCCCCCUUCACUGACCCCCUCUCUAUGUCCCUGGGCAUCCCUCUGCACUCCCUCUACACUGAGUCCACAACACAUCAUUUGGGGCCUCAAAUCUAGCCUAUAAUUCUCCCAUUGCAUAUUAUACAGUGCUGGCCUCCCAGCAAGACUGUGAGCAGCCCAGUGCUGGUCUGAUUCUUAUAACAGAAACCAUUUAUCUCAAUUUAGGACCAGUGGAGAUAGCUGUGCUAUUUAACAAUUAACCUCAUGUUCCCAUAAACCUAAACAGCAGGUUUUAGCCAUUCCAAAGGGCGUCACCACAACUCAAUUUAGCAACAACCACAGGGGGCCGCUCUGUGCCAUGCCCUGAGCCAGAGAUGAAACAGAUCAGCUCCCUGUCCCCGAGCGGCCCCCACUCUAACAGGGGUGACCGUCGGCUGAACACAGUGUUCCUGAAGGCAGAAUGAAGGCUGUGCUCUGACAGAGGGGCCGGGAAAGUGCUUGGAAGGACAGAGGAAUGGGGCAGGAGAUCUGUGAGUGGAAUCCUGGAAACUCCUGACCUGGAGGGGAACUGACAUGGGAGAAGUUUCUUGGAGAAAGUAGUGUCAAAGGAGGGCUUUCCCCAGUCACCUGACAACUCUGUGACCUUGGGCCAGUUAACCUCUCUCAGGCUGUUUCUCGUCUAUGAAUGGGGCUCACACAAUUGUCAGGCUGUGAUGGGAAUUCCAUGAGAGUGUAACUUAGCACAGUGGCUGGCACAUAGUAAGCACUCAGUACAUUAGCUACUGUUUUUCAGGGCGCCAGGAACUUCCCCUCAUUUCUAUCCCAGCAGACACCAAAUUUGCAUUACUUGUUUAGCAGAACUGAAAUUUAACAUCACAGAACUCACUAAUUUUUAUUUUAACCCUUUUCUUGCCAGCCCUGUAUUUCCCACAUGAUCUUGCAUACAGGUGUUCAUUGAAUGGAAAUAUACUUUCUGCAGAUUCUACCACUAGCUGAGCUUGUAACGACUGAGAGAAAACCUGAACCACUUGGUAAGAAAAACAAGUGAUCAUGGUCCAGACUCUGAGAAGAUGGAUGUCAGGCUUUCAGCUGCUUCUGCAACCAGAAGGCCUAGAAUGGGAAGCAGAUUUGGGUGAAAACACCAUGCCACACCACGUUCUGUCAGCUUGAAUCUACUCAAUUCCACGGAGAAUUGAGUAAACACUUCCUUCAGAAUCCAUGAGGUUGCAGAUACCUUUUCAUUUGGGUAUCUGGUCUCAAACAGCUUUGGCAACCAAAUUCCUGUAUCACAAGGGGAGUAUGGCCUAAUGAUCAAACACCGGUGGCUGGGUUUGAACCACUCACCUCCCAAGUUCUCUAGUUAGCCCCUAGUCUCAUUCCUGGUGUCACAAUUAGUUAAUAUUUGGCUGUUCUGAGGAUUAUAAAGCCAACUAGGGAAGUGGAGGGAACAGAACUGCCAGAGAGAUUGGGAGCCAAAGAUGAAAUUCCAGGUCCACUUCUGUUUAUUAUACGAUCUCAGGCAAAUCACUUUCUCACCCAGUUUCCCCAUUUCAGCUUCUCCAGCUGUAAAACCAAGGAGCUAGAUGUGAUGACCGAUUUGUUUCCACCUCUGAAAUUCUACCAUUUAACUAGAAAUUUCAG